AAGGACUAAUUGCCCUAUUGUCUGGCCAAUCUAAUCAGAUAGAGCAAACAGUUUGUCCUUCAUUGUGAAGACUGACAAGAUGGCGGCUGUGAAACUCUAGGGGGUAAAGCACUGGUUUCUGACAAUACCCAGCAGGCCAAUCAAAAUGGGAGUUGUAGUUUUACAACAAGAUGCAUACCUCCUCGGCAGAGCAAUAGAACCUGCAUAUGGUUGUUAUCAGGGCACCAAAAACAGGAAGAUGCUUCCCUGACAACACGCCCGAUUCUUAAUAGACUGCUGCCACCAUUAGCCA